GAUGAACGCUGGCGGCGUGCCUAAUACAUGCAAGUCGAGCGAACAGAUGAGGAGCUUGCUCCUCUGACGUUAGCGACGGACGGGUGAGUAACACGUGGAUAACCUACCUAUAAGACUGGGAUAACUUCGGGAAACCGGAGCUAAUACCGGAUAAUAUAUUGAACCGCAUGGUUCAAUAGUGAAAGACGGUUUUGCUGUCACUUAUAGAUGGAUCCGCGCCGCAUUAGCUAGUUGGUAAGGUAACGGCUUACCAAGGCAACGAUGCGUAGCCGACCUGAGAGGGUGAACGGCCACACUGGAACUGAGACACGGUCCAGACUCCUACGGGAGGCAGCAGUAGGGAAUCUUCCGCAAUGGGCGAAAGCUUGACGGAGCAACGCCGCGUGAGUGAUGAAGGUCUUCGGAUCGUAAAACUCUGUUAUUAGGGAAGAACAAAUGUGUAAGUAACUAUGCACGUCUUGACGGUACCUAAUCAGAAAGCCACGGCUAACUACGUG
rnacentral:rRNA from 1 species